CUGGGACACACACCCUGUACCUCUCCUAUUCCCUCUGUUCUCUUCUAUGCCAGAAAAUGACACAAAACCACAGAAAAAUUUGUUCAGAAAAACCACGUCCAUUGAAUUCAUGUUCAACAAGAAAUACUCACACUGGCCCCUGUCUUCAUUGGGUUUCCAAGGUCACAGAUGACCAGCCGGGUCUGAUUCUCCAUCUCAUAAGCACAAGGUGCCAAGCAGCAACAACUUUCUCCCCACUCACCUCUGCGCAUCUGGGAGGUAGAAGUCCACAGAGAAACCAAAGAAACUGCCUCCUGCCCCAGUGUAAACUGCCGGCUGCUCCACUGCCAAGUUAAAUCCACGGACUGAGCUGAAGACUUUUGGAUAACCUCACAAGCAAGAGCAUUCAGCAGUUGCGCCAUUAUAUGAACUAGGAAAUGAGAGCGAGGAAACUUCGGGCGACUUCGGAAUACGAAUCGGUGCGUGUGCCAUGCCAUAGGCAACUUUUUAUUAUUUCUUUUUUAUCGUUUUUUAAUUAUUUGCCUUCCACUUACUCUUUUCAUCUUUCAAAUAGGA